rnacentral:tRNA from 1 species
GGAGAGAUGGCUCAGUGGUUAAGAGCACUGACUACUCUUCCAGAGGACCUGGGUUCAAUUCCCAGCACCUACA